GGGGGCAGCUGGGAUAAAUUGGGACCGUUGAGCUGUUUUCACCAGUUGAAAGCUGGUUUUCCAAGGUAAAAUGUGGGUCCCAGCAGCUCAAACCUGGUCCUGGAGGAAAACUGAGAUGGUUGGAAAGUGAUUCAGGUGGAGGAGGCAGCUCUAAUAACAUGGAGAAAACAGCCACGUUGUAAACAAGACACAGGAACGGAGUUGAGCCAGAGCCGGGCAAUGGUCUGUGCAUCUCCAUCUGCUGCUGGGAUACCGCUUGUUUAGAGAACUGCUUAAUCCACACUGGAAAAUUGAAAGAAACGUGCAAGUGGUUCCUACUUCCUCAGCCCCAGCCUGUUUUGAGCCUCGUUUUAUUGGGAGUUGUGCUGAUAAUUAUCACUCUACAGGAUGCCACCCUCUAAUCUUCCCAUUAUCUGCCAUUCGGGAGAGUCGUACGGAGCUUAAAAUGGGAUGGAAACCCGGCUGCUGCGAUGGACACGUGGAUGAUGUUUGGAGCCACCCAUAAUCCCACCCCCCCUUGGAACCACCUUUACGUUGGGCAUCUG